AGUCGAGCCAUGCAAACCCAAUCCAUGCAAAACAGGGGAAACGUGCAUUACCUCUGCGAAUAUUUUCACAUGUGUACAUUCUUCUGAUCCCCUUGGAUAUAACCGUUCUACUGAGAAGAAAUCUGGAGACGGUUUGUUUCCGAUUUACAUCGUUAUUCCAUCAGUUGGUAUUCCCACCUUAAUCCUUUAAUCAGCAUUGUUGGUUCACAUCAUUCAACACAAAUGGCGUCGUAACCAGCUGGAAGUCCGCAAUAAACACUGACUUACUAUUCUGUAACGGCCAGAAGGAAAAUGCUUACUUAGCGAACGACUUGAACAUGCAUUCUUUAUUAAAUUCUACUGAAUACCGUUAGGGCCAUCG